UGGGGAAUAUUGGGCAAUGGACGAAAGUCUGACCCAGCGACGCCGCGUGAGAGAAGAAGGCCUUCGGGUUGUAAAUCUCUGUGACAGGGGACGAGGAGAAGACGGUACCCUGAGAGGAAGCCCCGGCUAACUACGUGCCAGCAGCCGCGGUAAUACGUAGGGGGCGAGCGUUGUCCGGAAUUACUGGGCGUAAAGAGCACGUAGGCGGUUUUUUAAGUCUGUUGUGAAAGCGCCGCGCUUAACGCGGCAAGUGCAAUGGAAACUGGGGAACUGGAGGGUGUCAGAGGCAAGCGGAAUUCCCGGUGUAGCGGUAAAAUGCACAGAGAUCGGGAGGAACACCAGUGGCGAAGGCGGCUUGCUGGGGCACAACUGACGCUGAGGUGCGAAAGCGUGGGGAGCAAACAGG
rnacentral:rRNA from 1 species